AUUGAACGCUGGCGGCAGGCCUAACACAUGCAAGUCGAACGAGUGGCGGACGGGUGAGUAAUGUCUGGGAAACUGCCAGAUGGAGGGGGCUAACUACUGGAAACGGUAGCUAAUACCGCAUACCAUCGGAUGUGCCCAGAUGGGAUGAGCUAGUAGGUGGGGUAACGGCUCACCAAGGCGACGAUCCCUAGCUGGUCUGAGAGGAUGAACAGCCACACUGGAACUGAGACACGGUCCAGACUCCUACGGGAGGCAGCAGUGGGGAAUAUUGCACAAUGGGCGCAAGCCUGAUGCAGCCAUGCCGCGUGUGUGAAGAAGGCCUUCGGAUUGUAAAGUACUUUCAGCGGGGAGGCGUUACUCGCAGAAGAAGCACCGGCUAACUCCGUGCCAGCAGCCGCGGUAAUAC
rnacentral:rRNA from 1 species